rnacentral:rRNA from 1 species
UGACUGGUGGAGCGCUUAGAAGUGAGAAUGCCGGUAUGAGUAGCGCAAGACGGGUGAGAAUCCCGUCCACCGAAUAACUAAGGUUUCCUGGGGAAGGCUCGUCCUCCCAGGGUUAGUCGGGACCUAAGCUGAGGCCGAUAGGCGUAGGCGAUGGACAACAGGUUGAUAUUCCUGUACCAGUUGCUUUUGUUUAAGCGAUGGAGGGACGCAGGAGGCUAAGGAAUGCACACGAUCGGAAAUGUGUGUCCAAGCAGCAAGUCUGAGAACGAGUGAAAUGCUUUUUCUCUCAAGGACAAGCUGUGAUGGGGAGCGAAAUUUAGUAGCGAAGUUCCUGAUGUCACACUGCCAAGAAAAGCUUCUAGUGAGAAAGUAACUGCCCGUACCGCAAACCGACACAGGUAGUUGAGGAGAGAAUCCUAAGGUGUGCGAGAGAACUCUCGUUAAGGAACUCGGCAAAAUGACCCCGUAACUUCGGGAGAAGGGGUGCUGACCGCAAGGUCAGCCGCAGUGAAUAGGCCCAAGCGACUGUUUAUCAAAAACACAGGUCUCUGCAAAAUCGAAAGAUGACGUAUAGGGGCUGACGCCUGCCCGGUGCUGGAAGGUUAAGAGGAGAGGUUAGCGCAAGCGAAGCUUUGAAUUGAAGCCCCAGUAAACGGCGGCCGUAACAAUAACGGUCCUAAGGUAGCGAAAUUCCUUGUCGGGUAAGUUCCGACCCGCACGAAAGGCGUAACGAUUUGGGCACUGUCUCAACGAGAGACUCGGUGAAAUUAUAGUACCAGUGAAGAUGCUGGUUACCCGCGACAGGACGGAAAGACCCCAUGGAGCUUUACUGCAGUUUGAUAUUGCGUGUUUGUAUCACAUGUACAGGAUAGGUAGGAGCCGAAGAUACCGGGACGCCAGUCUCGGAGGAGGCAACGGUGGGAUACUACCCUUGUGAUAUGACCACUCCAACCCGCUGCUCUUAGCGAGCAGGGAGACAGUGUCAGACGGGCAGUUUGACUGGGGCGGUCGCCUCCAAAAAUGUAACGGAGGCGCCCAAAGGUUCCCUCAGAAUGGUUGGAAAUCAUUCGUAGAGUGUAAAGGCAGAAGGGAGCUUGACUGCGAGACCUACAAGUCGAGCAGGGACGAAAGUCGGGCUUAGUGAUCCGGUGGUUCCGCAUGGAAGGGCCAUCGCUCAACGGAUAAAAGCUACCCUGGGGAUAACAGGCUUAUCUCCCCCAAGAGUUCACAUCGACGGGGAGGUUUGGCACCUCGAUGUCGGCUCAUCGCAUCCUGGGGCUGUAGUCGGUCCCAAGGGUUGGGCUGUUCGCCCAUUAAAGCGGUACGCGAGCUGGGUUCAGAACGUCGUGAGACAGUUCGGUCCCUAUCCGUCGCGGACGUUGGAAAUUUGAGAGGAGCUGUCCUUAGUACGAGAGGACCGGGAUGGACACACCGCUGGUGUACCAGUUGUUCUGCCAAGAGCAUCGCUGGGUAGCUAUGUGUGGACGGGAUAAACGCUGAAAGCAUCUAAGCGUGAAGCCCCCCUCAAGAUGAGAUUUCCCAUCACUUUAAGUGAGUAAGACCCCUGAGAGAUGAUCAGGUAGAUAGGUUGGAGUGGAAGUACAGCGAUGUAUGGAGCGGACCAAUACUAAUCGGUCGAGGACUUAACCU